rnacentral:hammerhead_ribozyme from 1 species
AGCCAGCUGACGAGUCCCAAGCAGGACGAAGUGCGCUUUAUCCUGGAU